rnacentral:rRNA from 1 species
GGAUUAUUGGGUUUAAGGGUGCGCAGGCGGGGGAUUAGGUCGGCGGUGAAAUAUCAGGGCUCAACCUUGAGAGUGCCGUCGAAACCGGUUUUCUUGAGUGCGGAUGAAGUAGGCGGAAUUUGUGGUGUAGCGGUGAAAUGCGUAGAUAUCACAAAGAACACCGAUUGCGGAGGCAGCUUACUAAACCGCAACUGACGCUCAUGCACGAAGGCGUGGGGAUCAAACAGGAUUAGAUACCCUGGUAGUCCACGCAGUAAACGAUGAUUACUAGCUGUUUGCGAUACAAUGUAAGCGGCUGAGCGAAAGCGUUAAGUAAUCCACCUGGGGAGUACGUUCGCAAGAAUGAAACUCAAAGGAAUUGACGGGGGCCCGCACAAGCGGAGGAACAUGUGGUUUAAUUCGAUGAUACGCGAGGAACCUUACCCGGGCUUGAAAUGCAUCUGACCGGGCCGGAAACGGUCUUUCCCAGCGAUGGGCAGAUGUGUAGGUGCUGCAUGGUUGUCGUCAGCUCGUGCCGUGAGGUGUCGGCUUAAGUGCCAUAACGAGCGCAACCCUCAUCGUCAGUUACCAUCGGGUAAAGCCGGGGACUCUGACGAGACUGCCAUCGUAAGAUGCGAGGAAGGUGGGGAUGACGUCAAAUCAGCACGGCCCUUAUGUCCGGGGCGACACACGUGUUACAAUGGGCGGUACAGCGGGGAGCUACCUGGCGACAGGGAGCCGAUCCCGAAAGCCGCUCACAGUUCGGAUCGGAGUCUGCAACUCGACUCCGUGAAGUCGGAUUCGCUAGUAAUCGCGCAUCAG